rnacentral:rRNA from 1 species
UACGUAGGGGGCAAGCGUUGUCCGGAUUUAUUGGGCGUAAAGAGCGUGUAGGCGGUUUGGUAGGUCCGCUGUGAAAACUCGAGGCUCAACCUCGAGACGCCGGUGGAAACCAUCAGACUAGAGUCCGGAAGAGGAGAGUGGAAUUCCUGGUGUAGCGGUGAAAUGCGUAGAGAUCGUAAGGAAGGCCAGUGGCGAAGGCGAGUUCCUGGACAGUUACUGACGCUGAGGCACGAAGGCCAGGGGAGCAAACGGG